UGGGGAAUAUUGGACAAUGGGCGCAAGCCUGAUCCAGCAAUGCCGCGUGUGUGAAGAAGGCCUUCGGGUUGUAAAGCACUUUUAUCAGGAGCGAAACGCUGUCGGCUAAUACCCGGCGGAACUGACGGUACCUGAGGAAUAAGCACCGGCUAACUUCGUGCCAGCAGCCGCGGUAAUACGAAGGGUGCAAGCGUUAAUCGGAAUUACUGGGCGUAAAGCGUGCGUAGGCGGUUUCUUAAGUCUGCUGUGAAAUCCCCGGGCUCAACCUGGGAAUGGCAGUGGAUACUGGGAGGCUAGAGUGUGUCAGAGGGUGGUGGAAUUCCCGGUGUAGCGGUGAAAUGCGUAGAGAUCGGGAGGAACAUCAGUGGCGAAGGCGGCCACCUGGGACAACACUGACGCUGAGGCACGAAAAGCGUGGGGGAGCAAACAGGAUUAGGAUACCCUGGUAGUCCACGCCCUAAACGAUGCGAACUGGAUGUUGGUCUCAACUCGGAGAUCAGUGUCGAAGCUAACGCGUUAAGUUCGCCGCCU
rnacentral:rRNA from 1 species